CCGGUCCUUAGAAGACAGACGCAGGAUGACGCUGUUGGCGUUGCGUGUUCUUAACGUUGCCUGAAAAUGUGUCCGCUGCGGAUGGAGAGAAUGAGGGAGCAGGUACCGGAUGUGGCCUCCAGGAUGGAAGAAGUUCGUGGACAUCUGCAAAAGGAUGAGUAUAUAAUGCGGAUUACGCUAUUCACUAUGAUACAGAAAUGAUCGCCCAGCAGAGCACCAGGCGGUGGCAGAGCGCUCAGAUGUGAUGUAUGAAGAGUCCUUUCUGGCGGAGCUUUGGCCACAAACAUUCGAAUGGAUUCCUUGAUGAUCGCACUGCAACUCCCCAUUUUCCAAUAAUCUACACUAUACUCUGCGCAUUCACAAAGAUGUCCCGGUUCAGGAAUCAUUACCAACCUCUGUCCUACAUGAUACCGGCCGGGACUAUCCUGCUAACCCACCUGGUUAUACCGCAUCCCUCUGCUCAGAGACCCCCAAAGUACCGAAGCUGAUCCAGUUUACCGGAUCCAUGCGCAGCUCCCACGUCCACUACAGAGCAGCCGUCUGCAGUAAGAGAUUGCAACCAGAGUGCCGCAGCCGCUAGGCAUUAAUCCCGGUUUAUAGUCUGUGACUUCAGUAAAGUCAGCCCUGAU